CUUAGAGUUUCCCCAGAUGUGUUUUUUUCCUCAAAUAUGAGUUUUUGCCACUGGGUUUUUUGACCUGGCCCGAGUUCACUGGGUGGACUGGUAAUCCAAGACCCUGGUCCAAAGAGGGGGAAUAGAUAUUAUUCCCAUUUUGACUAUAUGUGUUUACGUUGUGAAUUAUAAUAAUAAUAUUCCCGUUGUUGGGAAUAAUACACUUUGCCUGUUUUGAUCCAAGGUCAAGUUACAGAUAACAUGAUGUGCAGUGUCUGUUUAAAAUUGGUUAACAUGUCAGCUGUUUGAAAUAUUUAACUUGUACACUUAAAAGAUGUAUUCAACAGAUAAUUGAAAAAGCUGAAAAUUGACAGCACGAACUCCUCUUAAAGGGAAAACCUACGGCACAGAGCAAAUG